rnacentral:tRNA from 1 species
GGUUUAGUGGUCUAGUGGUAUGAUUCGCCCUUAGGGUGGGCGAGGUCCCGGGUUCAAUUCCCGGCUGAACCC